rnacentral:misc_RNA from 1 species
UUAACUUAUUAAAAUAAGACGCUCAGAAGAUAAAAUUAAACAUAGUUUAGUGUACCGCCGGCGGGCGCGGCCGGAGUAGCGCAGCCAGCGCUACAGGGUAGCGCCAGACUGCCUCCAACCGAGCUGACGCCGAGGCAAAACUGGGUAGGUUUACAGAUGGUGUGGGAGUUGUAUAACUCUGUAAUGAUCCCUCCGCUGGUUCACCAACGGAGA